AUGUGUGAUGCUAGUGAUUAUACUGUAGGGGUUGUUCUAGGACAAAGAGUUGAUAAGAAAUUAAAUGUUAUCCAAUAUGCUAGUAAGACUCUGGACAAUGCCCAGAGAAAUUAUGGUAUUACUGAAAAAGAAUUUUUAGCAGUUGUAUUUGCUUGUGAUAAAUUCAGACCUUAUAUAGUUGAUUCUAAAGUAACUGUUCACACUAAUCAUGCCACUAUUAAAUAUCUUAUGGAAAAGAAAGAUGUUAAACCUAGACUUAUUAGAUGGGUUCUCUUGCUACAAGAAUUUGAUUUGCAUAUUAUUAAUAGAAAGGAAGCUGAGAACCCCGUUGUAGACAACUUGUCUAGGUUAGAGAAUGUUCUUGAUGACCCACUACCUGUUGAUGAUAUUUUUUCUGAUGAACAAUUAGCUGUCAUAAAUGCUUCUCGUACUGCUCCAUGGUAUGCUGAUUAUGCUAAUUAUAUUGUUGCUAAAUUUAUACCACCUAGUUUCACAUACCAACAAAAGAAAAAGGUCUUCUAUGAUUUAAGAAAUUACUUUUGGGAUGACCCAUACCUUUAUAAAGAAGGAGUAGAUGGUGUCAUUAAACGUUGUGUACCUGAGCAUGAACAGGAACAGAUCCUACGCAAGUGUCACUCCGAGGCUUAUGGAGGACACCAUGCUGGAGAUAGAACUGCACAUAAGGCAAACUCCUUUCUAAAUGGGAAGGUCCUUACGUCAUCGAGGAGGUCUAUCGUUCCGGUGCCAUAA
rnacentral:rRNA from 1 species